ACGAUGUUUGACAAGAAGGAGCAGUGCGCGAGAUAUGCUAAUGAGCAGACUUCCCUCGCUUGAGUUUCUGAAGAAUGUUCCAUAUCGCGCUAAGCUCAUCACUGCAGCUGAUUAUGACAGGCGUGCAACGGCACACAUCCACAGAGCACUCUUCAAAUCAUCUACACAGUGGUUAUCCAACUAGGAUUAUAAAGGCACACAUUGACAUAGACCACUGUUGCAAUCAACGACACAGUCGCUAUCCAAGUAGCAUUAUAGAGCUGUCAUGCAACGCAACAACUGUGCUAUCUGCCAUCGCACAUCAACGAAGAAGUGCAGCCGCCCACAUUCCACCUCACGUCUGUCCGACCAGCUGCAAUCCUCGAGGACGCCCCACUGUACCACGAUUUCACUACGAUGUUUGACAAGAAGGAGCAGUGCGCGAGAUAGGCUAAUGAGCAGACUUCCCUCGCUUGAGUUUCGGAAAAGAAUGUUCCAUAUCGCGCUAAGCUGACCACUGCUGACCAUGACAGGCGUGCAUUGGACUGGUACAGGUUGGAACUGAACAUUGAAUAUGCUGGUGGUGACGCUUUCUGAUGAGAAGUUGGUCGUGACUGAUGCAGUAUCCUUGGACUUGUCCACAGCAUCGUUCAAUCAUUGCUCUCUCAGCUGCCUUGAUUCUGUACUUACCCAAAUACUAAGACCAAAUGCCUGUUGACUGUGCUUUAAGAGAGACUGGCGCCAUGCCUAGAGAUAUGACUGACCCCUAUUGGCAAAUUUGUAUGACUUUAUCUUGCCUACCUAGCUGCUGCCUGUAGUCUCCCUUUAACUGCGGAACACUUCAAAGUCGUUAAAAUGCCAUGUUCCACCUUUUAAUGUGUUCAGACCGCCAUUUUCAAAAUAAUCAAGUCAGGACACUGCCUUCUUGUCUCAUAAUAAAUUUUGCUUUCCUCAAUAAUAACAUUUCUUCUUCUUCAAUGCUUUCAUCAUUCCAAACUUCUCCUCCUCUGACUUUUACAGGGGUACAGUCAUGGCAAUCAAAACCCAAAUACUGAGACCAAAUGCCUGUUGACUGUGCUUUAAGAGAGACUGGCGCCAUGCCUAGUCUCUCUUAAAGCACAGUCAACAGACACCAACCCCCUCAGACUCAGAAACCACAAACGCCCAAC